GAUUGCUAUGGACCAAAGGUACAACCCAAGUAUUGACUCACCUCCCCAAUAAUUUUAUGUAUCUCGUGCAUUACUGUUAGUCCCCAUGAAUAUUAUAUA
rnacentral:ncRNA from 1 species